rnacentral:pre_miRNA from 1 species
GUAAAAAAAAAAACUAGGUUUUCGUGUCCAACGUUUGACUGUCCAUCUUAUAUGAAAUUUUUUUAUAAUUAGUAUUUUCAUCGUUGUUAGAUGAUAAAACAUAAUUAAUACUUUAUACGUGACUUAUCUUCUUAAUUUUUUUUAUAAUUUUUUUUAAAUAUAACGGACGGUUAGAAACCUAGGGUUUAUGG